CAGUACUCCACCUCCACCUUGCUGGCGUCUGAGUCGGACUGGAGCUCUCUGCCCUUUACCAAUCCAGCCACGGGCCCAUCCAUCUGGCCCAUCAAGACUCACUCUCAUUUCAUCAGUCCAUAAAACCUUAGAAAAAUCAGUCUUGAGAUAUUUCUUGGCCCAGUCUUGACGUUUCAGCUUGUGUGUCUUGUUCAGUGGUGGUCGUCUGUCAGCCUUUC